rnacentral:misc_RNA from 1 species
UCCGGUUUGGCACCGGCAGUCUCCGAUGAGUCCCCGGCUUUACCCGCUGGCAACAUCGGACAGGGGUUGCGCUCGUUGCGCCACUUAAGGCAACACCUCACGGCACGAGCUGACGACAGCCAUGCACCACCUGUGCAGGCUCCGAAGAGCGCCCGCUUUCACGGGUUCCACCCUGCAUGUCAAACCCAGGUAAGGUUCUUCGCGUCGCAUCGAAUUAAGCCGCAUGCUCCGCCGCUUGUGCGGGCCCCCGUCAAUUCCUGUGAGUUUUAACCUUGCGGCCGUACUCCCCAGGCGGGGCACUUAAUGCGUUAGCGCCGGCACCCAGGGGGUCGCUCCCCCAGGCACCUAGUGCCCAUCGUUUACGGCGUGGACUAC